GUGACGGAGCUCUAUGAACUAAAUGGCAUAUAAGAGCAAAGAAAUGUAUAAACGAGUGACAUAUUCUUACACGGUUUGUACAUAGAAUCUGCCAGGCCUGAGAAAGUUUAAAAUAAGUGAGUUAAAGUAAGCUGAUUAAAAAACAACGCACAAGUGAAAAAUAUAUAUAUGGUAUUCACUGUUUAAGCAACACUUUGGAUUCAUUACAACUUUUAUCAAUUUUCACAUACAUCACUGAUUGCAAAUUGAGACACGAUUGCAAAUCAAUUGAGAUGACUACCAAACUUGUUAUAAUAGAAUUAUUUCAGACAAAGCAAGAAUAAG
rnacentral:lncRNA from 1 species